rnacentral:rRNA from 1 species
UGUGGUGAUGAUGGCCUGAAGGAUACACCUGUUCCCAUGCCGAACACAGAAGUUAAGCUUCAGCACGCCAAAAGUAGUUGGGGGAU